UACGUAGGGGGCUAGCGUUGUCCGGAAUCAUUGGGCGUAAAGCGCGUGUAGGCGGUUCGGUAAGUCCGCUGUGAAAGUCGGGGGCUCAACCCUCGAAUGCCGGUGGAUACUGUCGGACUAGAGUACGGAAGAGGCGAGUGGAAUUCCUGGUGUAGCGGUGAAAUGCGUAGAGAUCGUGAGGAAGACCAGUGGCGAAGGCGGGUCUCUGGACAGUUCCUGACACUGAGGCACGAAGGCCAGGGGAGCAAACGGG
rnacentral:rRNA from 1 species